CUUAAAAUGCAAAUGAUCGAGACACAAAGCAUAAAACAUGGUGGCAGUGGUAAUUAAAUCUGAAACAGCAGGAGAGAACAUUCAGUGCUUCACUGCAGAGGGCAGAAUACUUCUGUUCGCUUGGGAAGUUCCUCAGAGCUGGAAGAUGGGUCUGGCAAUGUCUGUGUGUAAAGACCACUGGUGGUGUUCAGAGAAGGUCUUGGUCAGUUGAUCCACCACCGUGUUCUGCUUCCUUGGAAGAUGUGCUGCCACCACUGCCAGGCACUUUGUGAACACUCGAGGAGCAGCUGAGAGACCAAAUGUGAACUGAUAGUGGACUCAUCUGCCACAAAUCUGAGAAACUUCUGAAGGUUGUGUCAUAUCGUGACAUGGAAAUCUUGAGACCGGGCUACAUUUACAUCAUCCAAACUGUCCUGGAUAGCAGUUGUGGCAACUGGCUUGCCCUCAUCCACCAUUACUGCAAAUUUUAGAAUGUUCUCCCAGUAGGUGAAAUCAUAGUGCUCACGAGCAGGGCCGGCUUUAGACCAAUUCCCCUGAUUCCUGUGAAUCGGGCACCGCAGCAUCCGGAAGAGGGGCCCUGCAAGGUAAGGCCCCGGAAGACAAAUGUUGCCGAGGAAGCACCCUCCGCCAAAGUGCUGCCAAAAACAGCAGCAACUGAUUGAGCUGCCACCAAAUUGCCGCUGCUUCGGCGGCAGCUCAAUAGCUGCCGCUGUCUUCAGCGGCAUUUCAGCGGCAGCUCUUUAGAAUCGGGCCCCGCACGUCCUAAAGCCGGCCCUGCUCGCCAGUCCCUGUUGGUAAGUGCCUGUUGGUUUGCAAUUCUGAGUUGCAGACUACCUGCAGAAUGAAGUUUGCAUCGAAACAAGUCCAGCCUCUUCAAAUCUUUGCCUUUCAGGAUCAAUGCUUGGUGUCCUUGUGUCUCCCAUUUGUAGCAGCCACCACCACCAAGAACCUGGGUGAUAGUGAAAGUACAAAUGCUUAGAGGGGAUGUAGUACCUCCUUUCUGCUUGCUUGGCAGUGUGGGGGUAAGGAGGAUCAUAGGCAUAAUUUGACUUCUAUAUUUGGGGGGGCAAGGGGCUUAAUAAUAUGAAUCGGUCUAAUUUCUGGAUUCACUGAUUGUUAGUGGUAGUUAAAUUACAAUGU